CUUUAAAGGCUAAACUAAUGAGCGAGCGGCAUCUUCCUGCCGCUGGCCUCUCGAACUGGUAGGGAGACCCAGCGCUGGCCCGGCUGCGUGAGACUCGCUCUGGGGGCAUGGGACCCGGCCGGACAAAUUACAGUGGAUGAAGCAUUCCAUGCCACUACGUCUUUGACAACAUUCAAACAUGGACUGAGAAGAAGCAAUUGACAUUCAUGCUACGAAAGUUGUAGGAAUGACCACCUCAACCAGAACUACAACUACAACUUUGAAGGACUCUACAAUUCAUGUUCUCAAUGAGAAGAGAAGCUGUGAUCAAGCUGUUUGAAACUGAAGAUGGUACUGAAAAUUUCUUAACCAUAACAGUGUGUC